UUCCUACGGGAGGCAGCAGUAGGGAAUCUUCCACAAUGGGCGAAAGCCUGAUGGAGCAACGCCGCGUGGGUGAAGAAGGUCUUCGGAUCGUAAAACCCUGUUGUUAGAGAAGAAAGUGCGGGAGAGUAACUGUUCACGUUUCGACGGUAUCUAACCAGAAAGCCACGGCUAACUACGUGCCAGCAGCCGCGGUAAUACGUAGGUGGCAAGCGUUAUCCGGAUUUCUUGGGCGUAAAGGAUGCGUAGGCGGUUAAACAAGUUAUAUGUUAA
rnacentral:rRNA from 1 species